rnacentral:rRNA from 1 species
AACGAACGCUGGCGGCUGGCUUAACACAUGCAAGUCGAACGGGUGUAGCAAUACAUCAGUGGCAGACGGGUGAGUAACACGUGGGAACCUUCCUAGGGGUACGGAACAACUCAGGGAAACUUGAGCUAAUACCGUAUACGUCCGUGAGGAGAAAGAUUUAUCGCCCUUAGACGGGCCCGCGUCGGAUUAGGUAGUUGGUGGGGUAACGGCCUACCAAGCCUACGAUCCGUAGCUGAUCUUAGAGGAUGAUCAGCCACACUGGGACUGAGACACGGCCCAGACUCCUACGGGAGGCAGCAGUGGGGAAUCUUGGACAAUGGGCGCAAGCCUGAUCCAGCCAUGCCGCGUGAGUGAAGAAGGCCUUAGGGUUGUAAAGCUCUUUUACCAGGGACGAUAAUGACGGUACCUGGAGAAUAAGCCCCGGCAAACUUCGUGCCAGCAGCCGCGGUAAAAC